rnacentral:rRNA from 1 species
AAGCUCGUAGUUGAAUUUCGGGAUUGGGAUAUAUUGGUCGUGCUUUUAGGGGCAUGAAUCGGUGUGUAGCCAAUUUCUUACCUCCUGGUGAAUUGGGAUGCUUCUUAAUUGGGUGUUUCAAUGAACUAGGACCUUUACUUUGAAAAAAUUAGAGUGUUUAAAGCGGGCAUUUUUGCUUGAAUACAUUAGCAUGGAAUAAUAAAAUAGGACGGUGUUCUAUUUUGUUGGUUUUAGAACCACGUAAUGAUUAAUAGGGAUAGUUGGGA